rnacentral:rRNA from 1 species
UCCAGGCAAAUCCGGAUAAUCAAGGCUGAGGUGUGAUGACGAGGCACUACGGUGCUGAAGUAACAAAUGCCCUGCUUCCAGGAAAAGCCUCUAAGCAUCAGGUAACAUCAAAUCGUACCCCAAACCGACACAGGUGGUCAGGUAGAGAAUACCAAGGCGCUUGAGAGAACUCGGGUGAAGGAACUAGGCAAAAUGGUGCCGUAACUUCGGGAGAAGGCACGCUGGUGUGUAGGUGAAGCCCCUGCGGGUGGAGCUGAGACCAGUCGAAGAUACCAGCUGGCUGCAACUGUUUAUUAAAAACACAGCACUGUGCAAACACGAAAGUGGACGUAUACGGUGUGACGCCUGCCCGGUGCCGGAAGGUUAAUUGAUGGGGUUAUCCGUAAGGAGAAGCUCUUGAUC